UACGUAGGGUGCAAGCGUUAAUCGGAAUUACUGGGCGUAAAGCGUGCGCAGGCGGUUGUGCAAGACAGAUGUGAAAUCCCCGGGCUUAACCUGGGAACUGCAUUUGUGACUGCACGGCUAGAGUGUGUCAGAGGGGGGUAGAAUUCCACGUGUAGCAGUGAAAUGCGUAGAUAUGUGGAGGAAUACCGAUGGCGAAGGCAGCCCCCUGGGAUAACACUGACGCUGAGGCACGAAAGCGUGGGGAGCAAACAGG
rnacentral:rRNA from 1 species